rnacentral:rRNA from 1 species
AGCGAACGCUGGCGGCAGGCUUAACACAUGCAAGUCGAGCGGGCACUUUCGGGUGUCAGCGGCGGACGGGUGAGUAACGCGUGGGAACGUGCCCUCUGGUUCGGAAUAACUCAGGGAAACUUGAGCUAAUACCGGAUACGCCCUUUUGGGGAAAGGCUUGCUGCCGGAGGAUCGGCCCGCGUCUGAUUAGCUAGUUGGUGAGGUAACGGCUCACCAAGGCGACGAUCAGUAGCUGGUCUGAGAGGAUGAUCAGCCACACUGGGACUGAGACACGGCCCAGACUCCUACGGGAGGCAGCAGAGGGGAAUAUUGGACAAUGGGCGCAAGCCUGAUCCAGCCAUGCCGCGUGAGUGAUGAAGGCCUUAGGGUUGUAAAGCUCUUUUAUCCGGGACGAUAAUGACGGUACCGGAGGAAUAAGCCCCGGCUAACUUCGUG